rnacentral:rRNA from 1 species
AUUUUGGACAAUGGGCGCAAGCCUGAUCCAGCCAUUCCGCGUGCAGGAUGAAGGCCCUCGGGUUGUAAACUGCUUUUGAUCAGGAACAAAAAGCCCAUGCGUGGGAAAGUGAGUGUACUGAUAGAAUAAGCACCGGCUAACUCCGUGCCAGCAGCCGCGGUAAUACGGAGGGUGCAAGCGUUGUCCGGAUUUAUUGGGUUUAAAGGGUGCGUAGGCGGCUAUUUAAGUCAGUGGUGAAAUCCAUCAGCUCAACUGAUGAACUGCCAUUGAUACUGGGUAGCUUGAGUACAGACGAGGUAGGCGGAAUUGACAGUGUAGCGGUGAAAUGCAUAGAUAUUGUCAAGAACACCGAUUGCGUAGGCAGCUUACUAGGCUGUAACUGACGCUGAGGCACGAAAGUGCGGGGAUCAAACAGG